AUUACCUUGACAGAUGAAUGUGUUAGAUUUAGGAUCUAAUUAUGCGAGAUAGAUUUGCAGGUAAUA
rnacentral:tRNA from 1 species